rnacentral:rRNA from 1 species
CACCGCGGUUAUACGAGAGGCUCAAGUUGACAGACAACGGCGUAAAGAGUGGUUAAGGAGAAUCUUCAAACUAAAGCCGAACAUCCUCAAAGCUGUUUAACGCUUCCGAGUUAAGAAGCCCCAUUACGAAAGUAGCUUUACCUUUCCUGACCCCACGAAAGCUGUGGAA